GAUGAAGAACGCAGCGAAAUGCGAUAAGUAAUGUGAAUUGCAGAAUUCAGUGAAUCAUCGAAUCUUUGAACGCACAUUGCGCCCGUCAGUAUUCUGGCGGGCAUGCCUGUUCGAGCGUCAUUACGCCCCUCAAGUCCCCUGUGGACUUGGUGUUGGGGAUCGGCGAGGCUGGUUUUCCAGCACAGCCGUCCCUUAAAUUAAUUGGCGGUCUCGCCGUGGCCCUCCUCUGCGCAGUAGUAAAACACUCGCAACAGGAGCCCGGCGCGGUCCACUGCCGUAAAACCCCCCAACUUCUGAAAUGUUGACCUCGGAUCAGGUAGGAAUACCCGCUGAACUUAAGCAUAUCAAUAAGCGGAGA
rnacentral:misc_RNA from 1 species